rnacentral:rRNA from 1 species
GUGUCAGCCGCCGCGGUAAUACAGAGGGUGCAAGCGUUAAUCGGAGUUACUGGGCGUAAAGGGCGCGUAGGCGGUUAGGUGAGUGUGAUGUGAAAGCCCCGGGCUUAACCUGGGAAGUGCAUCGCAAACGACUUAACUGGAGUAUAAGAGAGGGUGGCGGAAUUUCCGGUGUAGCGGUGAAAUGCGUAGAGAUCGGAAGGAACGUCAAUGGCGAAGGCAGCCACCUGGCUUAAUACUGACGCUGAGGCGCGAAAGCGUGGGGAGCGAACAGGAUUAGAUACCCGAGUAGUCC